UAAAAGGCUGGAAUCUUGAACGAAGGUGGAGCUGUGAAGUGCAAGUGAUAAAUUAUUAUAACCCGUUGGAAGAGACUCCUUAAUCGUUGGCUACGUAACUUUCGUUGAACCAACUAAAGGGAGUUCGGCUCAUCCACCUUGUGAAAAGUGGGAGAGUAAGGGGAUGGAGGUGGGGUUAAAAAAGGCAGUACCUUGCCAGAAAUUCGCCGAAUCUUCAGCUGAUGGAGGUAUAAAGGGAUCCUGAGCACCAUGGUAGAAUCAGUGCAACGUGAAACUCUUCGGAAAGAACCACCGAAAAAGCAGCAUAAAAAAUCAACAUGUACCAAUUGGCAAUCGUACUGGCCUUGAUAGCCUUGGCAGCGGGUGCACCGUUGACCCAAACGUACACCACACCGAUACCGAUCCUCAGGCAAACGGCAGUCGGCCCGAAUCCCGACGGAAGUUACAGUUACAGCUACGAAACGGGAAAUGGCAUCCAAGCACAAGAGGUCGGCUACCUUAACUACGCAGGCACCCAAGCGGAGGUUCGAGAAGCUCAGGGUAGCUACAGCUACACCGCGCCAAAUGGGGAAAUUGUUCAAGUGACCUACGUGGCUAACGAGAAUGGAUUCCAACCCCAAGGUAGCCACAUCCCUCCCAUACCACCCCAGAUUCUCAAGGCUCUCGAAUACAUUGCCGCUCAUCCUGAAGAGAACAAUAUCGGUGCUCAAUGAGACCAGACGGAUAGAUCUACUGGGCGCGCCUCGCAAGAAGAUACAGGGGUAAAGAGGAAUACACACUGGGAGGCUGUUUAGUUUUAGGAUGAAUUCAUAGCGGAGAGAAGUAGAUUGCUCAGGUCCUGGCAAAGUAUACUGGUCCCAACUACUUGCCCAAUUGAAACUCGACUUAAAAAGGCACUCAUAUUAUUGUUUUAUUGGGCCUAAGACUGCAUUCACAAUGGGCAAAUAUCCUAUACCAAGUCUAUAUAUGUUUCUGUACUGAUAUAUUUAUUGCAAUCUGCAACUUUUACGAGACGAGUCAGUGUAUGUUUACAAAUUCACGCGCUCAACGCAAAGUCGAAGCUCAGUUGUUUCCAGUUCUUCAAACGGUUCGGUCGAAAUCUGUGUAAGUACUGUGAGUCGGGCUUGCUUCGAGCACGUGAAUUUCUACGCAUUUACUAUCUCGUCUCGUUGGAGGACUAUAGGGAGCUAAGGAGAUAGUUUGCUCGGGCAGCUUUUUCCUUUCAUUGGGGGCAAGAGUCCCUGGGGAGGAUGAUACUCGGGGGCAAGCACAGCCUGCCUGCUAAGCGAGACCAAUGUGAUUGAAAGUCAGUGAUCAACAAAAAAAUCAGUGACUUCAUCAAAUACCACAAAAUAUAAAAACCAUGGAGAACUAAUUUAAUGUUCCUUAAUUUUAUACAAAUAAUUUCAAAUGGCCUCAUAUAAAAAUUGAACAUCUAAAAAUUUUAAUUGAACUGGAGAAAAGAUCGUUAGAUAUUCUAAAUUAACCAUAACGAAAUAUAAAAAUAUUGGAAUGACCCAAUAGGAGAUAUUGGAUAUUCAUAAUGGACAGAAAGAAAGUGGAACGCGUCGCAAAUCAAAAGAAGACACUUACCAGGGUACG